UCAUUUUCAAUUUCCAGCAUUUCUAAAUUUUCUAAAUCUCUGUUUUCUGGCCAAUGAAAAGUAAUUAGGAUUCUAUCAAGUCUUCUAUCUUCUUACUCCAGGACUUCUGUGAGGAUUAAAUGAGAUGAGGCAUGGGAAAACACUUCACAGACAUUUGGUU